ensembl:lncRNA
UAUCGAUACAAAAAUGCAAAACACGAUGUCUGGAUGUAAAACAGUACUACAGAUUCACAUCAAAAACUCUUUCCUGACAUGAAACAUGGUUGGUGGGAGCAGCAUGGUUUGGUGGUGUUUUUAAUACAUGAAUUGUUAAUAAGAACCUAAAGCUGGAGGCUCAAAGGCAGCGGCGUCAUCUCUUAAGCAGCAAUACCUGCAGGCAGUGGCCACGGAGGGGGAAGUGGCUGGUAGUGACUUGCGUUAUUUAGCUUUUUUUCUGAGCUUCACUAAUGUUCUAAUGACAGGAAUUUUUUUUUUUUUUUAUUUGUUUGUGAUGUCUGUGUGCAAAGUGGGACAUUGCUUUUGUACUUAAAAGUCCAUGGUGUGAUAAAAAUCUGUUCUGGAGAAAUAGUUCAACAUAUUAUGGUGUAUAUCUUUAUUUCCAUUCUUUUAAAAGGCUCUGUGACAGAUUUUCUAGUUUUAGAAACUAAAUCAGAGAUGUCAACUCAUCUUACAUCAUGGACCACAUAGAGCCCAGUUUCAUUCAAAGUGGGCCCGACCAGUAAAGCUAUUGCCUAUCAAUAAACAGUUUUCUUGUUUUUAAAGUUUCUUUUAUUUCCAGGAUAAAGAUUAAGCUACACAUUUAAACCCUGAGGUAUCUUCAGAAAUCUUUUUUUAAAGAUGCAUCUCAGUUUUUCCACUAUGUGAAGAAAUGCUGCUGACUACAAAGAAACCCAUCAGCUCCUUGUGCAUACACUAAUAUUUUCAUACUUUGGUGCUUGAGAGGGUUAUUUGUCAGUAAGAAGGCAAAACUAAUGAGAAAACACACAAAAGUCCAAAAAUGUAUGCUCUUCUUUUUAGUCCACAUAUAUCCAGUGAGCUGGAUCCAUGUUUGUCAAAGAUAUUGUGAGGCAAACUGACUUGGAAAAAACAGAACUGAUUUUUAUAUUGACAGGUGUAUGUAAUGAAAACAUAAGACAUUACAAUUAACUUAAAUCUUGUGUCCCGUGGAAAAUAUUUAGGUCUUUUCCAGUCACAAAUUUGUCCAGGUAGUGAACUGCACUAUGCAACUGCUUUGAGACAUGGCAGCAGACUACAAUGUGCUACA